AAACCAGUAACAGGGCUGGAGAAUAGAUGACACUCCUCAUAUCUCUCCCUACCUGGGCCUGGUGUCUUUGGGACACGUGGUCUUACCUUAGUCCUGAGUCCUGAGUGCUCUAAGCGGGAACCAGGUCCCCAGACCUGCGAUGGGAAGGAAGGAUUGUAUGCAGCCUUUCUCCCUGCUUAGCAUGUAGGGAACAGCCUCUGUCUCUUCCAUCAGGGUCUUGUCAAGUUACCAUAGCAACCAGCAACUCCAGGUACCACAAAAGACAAUGCCUCCAAGAGCUGAGGUGUGAGAGAGAGCACAGGGUUCUGGCCUGGUCAGAGGACCCAGAAUUAAGCCCCAGAUGCUAAGAGAGUAAAGGAAGGAGGGAUGGAACUGGAUACAUGAGUGGGUUAAGUAGCUGCAGCGGCCUUGCGAGUCUGAGAAAGGCCACUGGCAGAGCUAGAACAGAUCCCUUCUGUUUUCCUCACCACUUACCCUUCUCCAGCCUGCCCCACCUCUAUUCCAAAACUCUCCCCUUGAAUUCCGACCCUUUGAAAGAAGAAAGCAAAAUAUACCUUUAGACAACAGUGUUACCCUGAGCCGCAAGGACAGGUGGAUGGGAAUCUCUGAAAGAAAAAAAAAAAGGAGGGUCUUCUGGUUUUGAUUUUUAAAAAGAGUAUCCUAGUAAGAAUAAAAACAAAAAGAUUUAAAAAAAGUUUUUAAAAGAAAACCUAUGCUAUUUAAAUUGGAGCCCAGUUGUAACUUGGUAAAGGUAAGCCUCGGUACCUUUGUUAUAAUUAAUUGUAUACCUGUGUAUGUAAAUAUAAGGCAUUCCUAUUUUGCAGUUCAGAACAAAAAAAACUAUUUGUAAUAUAGAAUAAAGUUUAUUAAAAAAUAAUAAAAAUGCAGUUUG
rnacentral:lncRNA from 1 species